rnacentral:rRNA from 1 species
AGCGAACGCUGGCGGCAGGCUUAACACAUGCAAGUCGAGCGGGCGUAGCAAUACGUCAGCGGCAGACGGGUGAGUAACGCGUGGGAACAUACCUUUUGGUUCGGAACAACACAGGGAAACUUGUGCUAAUACCGGAUAAGCCCUUACGGGGAAAGAUUUAUCGCCGAAAGAUUGGCCCGCGUCUGAUUAGCUAGUUGGUGAGGUAACGGCUCACCAAGGCGACGAUCAGUAGCUGGCUGAGAGGAUGAUCAGCCACAUUGGGACUGAGACACGGCCCAAACUCCUACGGGAGGCAGCAGUGGGGAAUAUUGGACAAUGGGCGCAAGCCUGAUCCAGCCAUGCCGCGUGAGUGAUGAAGGCCCUAGGGUUGUAAAGCUCUUUGUGCGGGAAGAUAAUGACGGUACCGCAAGAAUAACGCCCCGGCUAACUUCGUGCCAGCAGCCGCUGUAAC